UGUCAUUAUUACUCCUGUCUCUGCUAUCUCUCAUUCAUUUCCAUGGGAUAAAGUAUCAUUACUGAUUGAAUAUGAAUCAAAUAUUCUUAACAUAACUCCUCCUCCUCAUUCUCCUUCUUCCUUCACUCAUAUUGUAUUACACUGUGUAUUGGACAGUAAUACCUCAUCAGUUGAUGAAACUGUUUCUACUGGAGUAUCUUAUACUCUGAUUGGUUCUGAGACCAUAGCUCAAUGUCCUGAAAUUUUAACAUCACUAGAAACAAAAUAUAAUUUUCAAAUAAUAGUCAGGGACUAUCAUUCCCUUAAUGUCGA